UCUCCGUUGGCGAACCAGCGGAGGGAUCAUUACAGGACUCGCAAGACUCCUACAACCCUGUGAACUUAACUAUAAGCACGUUGCUUCGGCGGGUGUCUCGGAGGGGGUUCUCCCUCCCCGAGACGCUAAACCCGCCGGCAGCCUACUAUACUCUGUCUCUUUGCGUUGGCAUCUCGAGUACAAUCAAGCAAGUUAAAACUUUCAACAACGGAUCUCUUGGUUCUG
rnacentral:misc_RNA from 1 species